rnacentral:antisense_RNA from 1 species
ACGCUCACAACGGGAUUUGGUCAUGGUUAAACAAAUCAAACCACGGCCGUAAGUUGCCAUAAAGUUGAUCGCCUCCGGAGUCACAUGUUCCGCGGCCAUGAUCA